AGACAGCUAAAGCAAGGUACCCACUUCCCAUGGACAGCGGAUAUCUAAAAGAUGGGGAGGAGACCUCCAUCUUUCGUAAGAAUCACAGUCGAGCAGGCUCCUUGAAGAAAAAAGGAAAAGAACCAGAGGUGGUUUUUUUCCGUCUUGUUUUGGAUAACGCAUGGGCAAUGUGACAAUGUCGCCCCUCCCCUCCCCUCCCCCUCCCUUCCCUACUCAACACUUCUGUGUUCGUUCCAAAUCUCAGCCUCUCGUACAAGGCAAAGCAUGGGCCAAACUGCUGUCUUAUUGCGCCCCCCACUGCCGGUGAGCCGCAGAGAUCAAAAGAACGAUGGAGCGCAGUCUCUCUCUCCCUCCUUCCCUCCCUCCCUCCCACCCACCCAUCCUUCCUCGGCACCGCUGGCUUUCAGAACACCGUUCUGUGGUCACGCAGGCGAACCCCCCCCGCCGCCGUUUCGGGGUGGUUCCUCCUGAAGCGCCUUCUCUUUGCCCUGCCAGAGGGGGCCUCCCGCAGCCUACAAGCUACCUCCCGAGAGCUCUGGCAAGCAUCCUUGGGCGCGAGAGUUCGGAGGCUGAGCGUCUUCAGGUGGGGACCGAUUUAGGGCACCGCUGGGUGGGGUGGGGAGGCUCUUCUGCCGGCCCCGGCCCCGGCUGCAGCCAAGCCUCAGCUUCUCUUCAGCGCGCCGAACCCAUCCAAAUUCACCUCUUUCUCGGAGAAAGGAGCAAUAAACCUGCUGGGAUUUGCCUCGGAGAUGAACGAAAGAAGGAUGAUAUGGAGCAGACACCAAAGGCAGAACAAAACCAAUCACUUCUCAGCAACCAGUUANACGGAGCGCCCGACGGAAGACAUCUGACUGGACCGAGAAAUAAAUCCCUCCGCACUCUUUUGGCUUUACUCGGGCUUACUUCUCACGAGGUGCGCUCAAGCUUUCGGUCGAUUGCAGCUAAUUCCGACGGCAGCGUGAAAAGCUCUCAUAUUUCAAUAAACGGAAUUGAAUGACCUUGAACGUCGUCGGAGCGCUGUGCCUAUGCGUACUCGAUCCGCGACACUUGGGAUUGGGGUGCCUGACUUAGAAAUAAUUAACAAACCGUGCUGUACACCUUUCAGGGCUAACGAAUUUCUUUUGGCCUCGGACCUUCGGUAGCCUUCAAGGUGCCAUAAUUUUUACUAGUAAAAAAGAUAGUCUUUAAAAUAAAUAAAUAAAUAAAUAAAUACA
rnacentral:lncRNA from 1 species